rnacentral:tRNA from 1 species
CGGAACAUAGCUCAGUGGUAGAGCAGCUGGCUUAUAUCCAGCGUGUCGGUGGUCCGAAUCCAUCUGUUCCGAC